CAGGCCUAACACAUGCAAGUCGAACGGUAACAGGAAGCAGCUUGCUGCUUCGCUGACGAGUGGCGGACGGGUGAGUCAUGUCUGGGAAACUGCCUGAUGGAGGGGGAUAACUACUGGAAACGGUAGCUAAUACCGCAUAAUGUCGCAAGACCAAAGAGGGGGACCUUCGGGCCUCUUGCCAUCGGAUGUGCCCAGAUGGGAUUAGCUAGUAGGUGGGGUAACGGCUCACCUAGGCGACGAUCCCUAGCUGGUCUGAGAGGAUGACCAGCCACACUGGAACUGAGACACGGUCCAGACUCCUACGGGAGGCAGCAGUGGGGAAUAUUGCACAAUGGGCGCAAGCCUGAUGCAGCCAUGCCGCGUGUAUGAAGAAGGCCUUCGGGUUGUAAAGUACUUUCAGCGGGGAGGAAGGCAAUACGGUUAAUACCCGCCUCCAUUGACGUUACCCGCAGAAGAAGCACCGGCUAACUCCGUGCCAGCAGCCGCGGUAAU
rnacentral:rRNA from 1 species